AAUAGAUACCCAGGUAGUCCACGCCCUGACCCAUGAGCGCUGGAUGCCGGAUUUGUUCGGUUUCCAAGCUAACGCGUUAAGCGCUCCGCCUGAUUAGUACGGCCGCAAGGCUGAAAUUCAAAGAAACUGACGGAGAUUUGCACAAGCGGUGGAGUAUGUGGUUUAAUUCGAUGCAACGCGCAAAACCUUACCAACUCUUGACAGGGGUUUGCCAGAACGGUGAAACCGUUGCUGAUGGCCGUACUCAUUCGGUCAUUUAUGCGAACUUACAGGUGCUGCAUGGCUGUCGUCAGCUCGUGUCGUGAGAUGUUCGGUUUAGUCCCUGAACGAGCGCAACCCCUGCUGCCGGUUUCCUUGUCCGGCAGGACUGUCCGGUAAUUCCGGAAGGUGGGGACGACGUCAAGUCAUCAUGCCCCUUAUGUCUUGGGCUGCACACGUGCUACAAUGGCCGGUACAAUGAGCUGCGAUACCGCGAGGUGGAGCGAAUCUCAAAAAGCCGGUCUCAGUUCGGAUUGGGGUCUGCAACC
rnacentral:rRNA from 1 species